GGUCCUAUAGUCUAGUGGUUAGGACGUUGGAUUUUGAUCUCACCCAUCAAUCCUUCCGAAGUCCCCGGUUCGAACCCGGGUAGGACCUC
rnacentral:tRNA from 1 species